rnacentral:lncRNA from 1 species
CUACAAAUGCACAAAAAUGAUGCAAAAACAUGUUAAAACAACUAAAGUGAACGCACAUCCUUCUGUCUGUGAUACUUGGGAAUAUAACUAUGAAUAGGUAUGGGAUCCACUGUUGUACUUUUAUGUGCAAACGGAAGCAAACUCUAACAAAGUACCAAUAUCAACGUCGUAGGUGAAAACUAAAACAAUCUCAAACUAACACGAGAUUUACGUGGUUCGGCGUAAAGCCUACGUCCACGAGCGAAGCACGGCAAAGAAUUUCACUAAACAAACGGAGAUUACAAAAGAGUGUUUAAACUUUCACAACCCAAAUCCCACAAAUUACAAACCCUAAACCAAACGAGUAGAGAACUCAAACAAAUGGAGAAGAUUCUCAAAAAUUGCUCUCUAACUCACAAACUCACAAAUUGACUCUCACCAAAUUGCCACACGAAUGAGCCACACUAAAUACACUAACCCUAAGGUCCUAUUUAUAGUGCAUAGGACUUAGGUUACAAUAAGAAUCCUAAUAGGAAGUAAAUCCAAAUCCUAAUCAAAUAGGUGAUUAACAAAAUCUCUCCACCAAGGAAACCAACUAAGAAGUCAAAAUCCAAACCUAAACCCAAAUAGGACACCAAAACCAAAUAGGUAACACAAACCUAAUUCUUUGCAUCAUCCUAAUUUUGAGCCGUAAAAACCUAACAAUCUCCAUCUCGGCGAGAAAUUAGCAAACUUCCUAAUUUGGGAUAUCAAAAUACAAACACAAACGUGCACCAAAUUCUUUUGAAAUUGAUCUCCACCUAGAAUAAAAAAAAUCCAGAAAUCUUCAAACUUGAAAUUUCCUCCAACGCCUUCUCCAACAAAUUCCAUUACAGAAGCUAACAAAUAUGAAACAAAAUCCAAGCAAAAGCUUGAACAUAUGAACAAAAAGUGCGAAUUGCACUCCACCCAAAGAGCUUGAGUACCAAGCUCCAUCUCCUCACAUAACCUUUAGAGGAGUUCAGAACAAUGAUCUUCUGCAAUGUUUGCAUCAACACUAGCAAAAGACUUAUCAAACGGCUCCUUUUUGCCCUUGAGUUUAGGGCAAUCUACUUUCCAAUGACCUUCCUUAUAACAAUAGCUACAAGUGUUCUUUCCAAGUUUGCCCCUUUCCUUAUUUCUUCUUUGAACUACCAAAGCUCCAUUUUGUGUGUCAGACACUUUAUUCUUUAGCUCUUUAGAAUUCAAACCGACUUUAAAAUCUUUCAAACUAAGACUUUCUCUACCAAAUAGCAUGGUAUCGACAAAGUGUUCAUAUGAAGGAGAUAAAGAACACAACAAAGAUAUUGCAUAAUCCUCAUCACUAAUUUGGUUGUCCACACUUUUCAAAUCCAUCAUAAGUUUAUUGAAUUCAUCAACAUGCUUAUGAAUUGACGUACCUUCAUCCAUACGAAGAGUAUGCAAACUUUUCUUCAAAUACAACUGUUUAGCAAGGGAUUUGGUCAUAUACAAGCUCUCCAAUUUUAUCCACAACUCCGGUGCAAAUUUUAUGCUACCAACUUCACGCAAGACUCAUUUGAUAAAGUUAGCAAGAUUGCUCCAAGUGCCUGCUCCAUAACGUCUUCUUUUUCUUCAUCAGUCCACGAAUUCGGCAAAGCCUUCACACCCUUUAGCAUUUUCAAAAGCCCUUGUUGAACUAACAAAGCACGCAUCUUCAAUUGCCAAAUACCAAAGUCAUUGCCGUCGAACUUUUCAAUAUCAACUUUCACCGAUAACACAAAAGGCUUCAUAGUGACUGCCAAGCAAAGCCCAAGCCGAAACCUGGCUUUUAUACCACUGGUUGUACUUUUAUGUGCAAACGGAAGCAAACUCUAACAAAGUACCAAUAUCAACGUCGUAGGUGAAAACUAAAACAAUCUCAAACUAACACAAGAGAUUUACGUGGUUCGGCAUAAAACCUACAUCCACGAGCAAAGCACGGCAAGGAAUUUCACUAAACAAACGGAGAUUACAAAAGAGUGUUUAAACUCUCACAACCCAAAUCCCACAAAUUACAAACCCUAAAUCAAACAAGUAGAGAACUCAAACAAACGGAGAAGAUUCUCCCAAAUUGCUCUCUGACUCACAAACUCACAAAUUGACUCUCACCAAAUUGCCACACGAAAGAGCCACACUAAAUACACUAACCCUAAGGUCCUAUUUAUAGUGCAUAAGACUUAGGUUACAAUAAGAAUCCUAAUAAGAAGUAAAUCCAAAUCCUAAUCAAAUAGGCUAUUAACAAAAUCUCUCCACCAAGGAAACCAACUAAGAAGUCAAAAUCCAAACUCAAACCCAAAUAGGACACCAAAACCAAAUAG